AACGAACGCUGGCGGCGUGCCUCAUACAUGCAAGUCGUACGCGAAUCCUGCCGCAAGGCAGGGUUUGAGUGGCAAACGGGUGCGUAACACGUAGGUAAUCUUCCUUUGAGUUGGGGAUAAACCCUCGAAAGGGGUCUAAUACCGAAUAACACUUCGGGCCGGCAUCGGCCUGAAAUUAAAGAUGGCCUCUGCUUGCAAGCUAUCGCUCAAAGAUGAGCCUGCGGCCGAUUAGAGUUGGCGGGAUAAAAGCCCACCAAGACUUCGAUCGGUAGCCGGUCUGAGAGGAUGUCCGGCCACACUGGGACUGAGAUACGGCCCAGACUCCUACGGGAGGCAGCAGUAGGGAAUAUUGCGCAAUGGCCGCAAGGCUGACGCAGCAACGCCGCG
rnacentral:rRNA from 1 species